CUGGUCUUGACAUCCAUAGAAUUCUGCAGAGAUGUGGGAGUGCCUUCGGGAACUAUGAGACAGGUGCUGCAUGGCUGUCGUCAGCUCGUGUUGUGAAAUGUUGGGUUAAGUCCCGCAACGAGCGCAACCCUUAUUCUUUGUUGCCAGCGAUUUGGUCGGGAACUCAAAGGAGACUGCCGUUGAUAAAGCGGAGGAAGGUGGGGACGACGUCAAGUCAUCAUGGCCCUUACGACCAGGGCUACACACGUGCUACAAUGGCGUAUACAAAGGGAAGCGAAGGUGCGAGCUGGAGCGGAUCUCAUAAAGUACGUCUAAGUUCGGAUUGGAGUCUGCAACUCGACUCCAUGAAGUCGGAAUCGCUAGUAAUCGUAGAUCAGAAUGCUACGGUGAAUACGUUCCCGGGCCUUGUACACACCGCCCGUCACACCAUGGGAGUGGGUUGCACCAGAAGUAGAUAGCUUAACCGCGAGGGGGGCGUUUACCACGGUGUGAUUCAUGACUGGGGUGAAGUCGUAACAAGGUAACCA
rnacentral:rRNA from 1 species